CUUUGGAGCGAAACUACCAAGCUAUGCAGAGUCAGUGUGAUGAAAAGCCACCAGCUAAGUCAGUGAAUCCCACUAAAGAGGAAGUGCAUCUUCUGCAUGUCAUUACAGUUCGGUGAUGUUACUGGUUUUAAUGACCUCCCUGAGCAUUCACCACAGCCAGGGGGUCAUACAAACUCACGACUCUCCAGGAAAAGCCCUCCAUUAAUGGGAAGAGGAACAGAGGCACCCAGGCCGCUUCAGUUCAGCCAACAGAUGGGAGGCCAUUGUAAAUAUUUUGAUUGAUGGAAGGUGGGGUCAAGGCGUAAACCUUAUGUUUUCCAUAUAAAUGGGUAGGGCGGGAAUCCAAUGCAGGAUGUUGGCUUGUUUUUGAUAGGCCUCCCAUUCCUUUGCAUGGCAGAAUGCAGAGACACUGAAAGUUAGGGAAGGUUUCCAUGGAUCUAAAGGUGCUUAAGAAUGUUGCGGACAUAUUUUGUGUAUCUGACCUUGUUUUAGUGUAAAGUUCCUGCUGGUCUGAGAGGAAUAUCCUAUAGUGAAGAUGUCUUUGAGAUAGAUUUGAUCAUACAUGAGUUUGUAAAGUGACCGUUUGGGUAAUUGUUGUUAUUUUUUUCUCCCCGUGACAGAUUGAUCUGACCCAAGGGAUUGCCUGUUUCGUCAAAUUAGACCUGACCAAUGUGAUUUUUGCCUUGAGAAUGUGACUUUUUUUUUUUGUUUUCUGUUUUUUCAAGAGGCGUCAACAAGCGAAAGAGGCCAAGGCAACAGUGCCUAUAGGCUCUGGUAAAGGAUUUGCAUCUUGAAUUGGUAACCUGCAGUUCUCCUCAAUGAAGACAUCAGAUCAAAGUUCAACCAGUCAAAGCCCUGCUAAAACGUUAAGGAGGCCGGCACGUACACAAAGGCACGGGAUGAACAGCAACUGCUGCCUCAGGAGAGGGGGAUCUGGUGGCCUCCAGGGUCUGCCAUCAGCAGCAGCCAGCAAGCUGUUUCCAGGCAGCUCAGAGGCAAACAAGUAUUGUUGAGUGUCAUAUAUGACAACGUGCAAGUCUUUUUUCCACUGUGAUCUGGAACAACAACACAUGUUAAAGGGCAUCAUGCCUUUCCCACCAUAAGUUUACUUACUUUCAGAUGCCCCCCCCCUUCAGCCUCAAUAUAAUGAAUAUAAUACUGGAUAAAGAUUUAUGCAGAAGAUGCAAAUUUAGCUUUAAAAUUCAGAUCACCUUUUUGCACAACAUUAUCUUUUAAUAAGAUAUUUAUUAAUUAAUUAAUGCAGACUGAUUGAUUUUAGUAUUUUUUUUUUUACAGCUACCAUUAAAUAUCACAAUAUAAAAGUUUAUAUGUUCUUUUUUUUUAUUUUAAACAGGUCUUUUUUAAUAUUUGCAACCUAAUAUAUGUGUAUCCAGUCCUGUUUUUUAUUUUUAUUUUUAUUUAUUGUUACCUAAAAACUUUCUUUUGUAGUAUGGACUGUGGUCAGUAUGAAGUCCAAGACCACUCUUGUGUGAUCCACAAUAACUAAAAUUAAUUUUGUUUAACAAAAAAAAAAAAAAGAAAGUCUCCUGGAGCACUCUCUGUACAGCAUAGUUAAACAGCUUUCAUAUUCACUUCAAUAUAUGUGGAGAGAAAUUAUAAAUCACAAUGGAGCGCAGCACUUUGAAUGGUGUAAUAUGUACAAAUGAAGCCCAGUUGAUGAUUCUGGCCAAAGGGAGGCUUGUGAUCUUGUGGCGUGACGUUUUUUUGGCUUCUCUGCUCCUCAGUGUGCAUGACGUCUCCUCCACAACCCCAAGCUUGACGUGCCAAAAAAGUUGUGACUUGCUUUUGAAAGCCAUCCAGCCUUUUAUAAAGGAAGUCUAGACAGUUGAUUGGUUGUUUUGAAUCAGUUCAGUGUUUCUUUUAGUUUACUAUUUUUAAAUAGCAGAUGAUAGCUAUUGCCAAAUGUCAUAGAGAGGUCUUGAAUGUGUUUAUUUAUAUAGUUUGCACAUUAAUAAAUUAUUGUUGUUAUUUUCAUUUACUAUUUUUCAUUUAUAAUUAUUUAUUUGUAUUAUAUAUCAUAUAUGAAUUUAUUUGCCUUGAAUUUGGGUAGAAUACAUUUUUUACCCUUUUCAUAACUAAGCUUUAAGUUUUAAAAAAAGACUUGUUGGUAGGUUCUCGCUCCCUCUCCAUCUCUCUCUCUCGCUCUCUGUGUGUGUGUGUGUUUUGAAGCGAACCCCCUCCCAUUUCACUCUCACACACAAUAAAAAGGCACUUUCAAUGAAACUUACUUAGCUUCUCUCUUGUGGGCUAAUGAGGUUCUGUUCAAUGUUCUAUUUUCCAUAUUCCAUUUGAUGUGUUUAAUAAUUAAUCUUGUGAAAUAUUAAUGCAACGGGAGUCUUCAGUGGUGGCUGUUAGGGGAGAAUAACUCCUGAUAAGUGUUAAUGUAUCAGAAGCAGUGCAAAUUUAGUGUGAGAGCUGCUCAAAGCUCAGCAAGCUUUUUCUUUUGUGGAUAAUAAUGCUCUGACUUUUAAUGGACACUGUGAUAUUAGGGAUGCAUAACUACAUACUGUGUUUGCAUUUGAUUUUAUGGAUGUAUUCUCAUUUCUGUGUGUAUUUGAGUGCAUGCAUGUCAGUUUUGGGAAGUAUCUAACUGUAAAACCCUGUUUACACCUGGUAUUAACAUCAGUUGUGAAUUAGUUGUAUAUUAACACCAUUUUAAAUGAAUGCUAAAUCAGGGUUAUAUAUAUAUAUAUA